GUGCUAAGGAAACAGGAGCCGUGCGUGCUUCUGCGGUGCGACAACGACGAUGAGGAGUGGAGCGGGAAUCUAGCCUUAACUUCAGCAACGCCUCCCUACCUCCGUGCGUACGUAGCACUGGAUCCGUCUGCUCGGUGGUCCUCCCCUAGGCACGGCCUACCGACGCCUGCGCGGAGAGGGAACUAGGGGAAAGUAGAGCUACCGCCCUGUCGUUCCGUGCCGCCACCGGCCACCACCUGCUCUGUAAGUCGGAAAAGUCGAUACGUCAGCUGGUAGUUCAUAACUGACAGUAUUGAAGUCCAAUGAAACUAUUUGACUAAAGACGUGUUACCAUGACUACACGUCACAUGAGCUGCAUCUCACCACAAAAGUAUAACGACCGUAUCCUCAUGAUAGUUACGCUCGAAGUCAAUGUUACCGUUGUAUACUGGCUUACAGGUACAUAGCUUUACAUACAAUAUCGACUAUAAUUCUCGUUGACAGGUUAUAAUAAACAACAUAUAAGACUAGAUACUAGUUUUAAACAUAACACCCGUUGUUGUGCUGUUGCGAUGACCAACCCGACUUCCUUGACCGUUUCAACAAAUUACCACUAUAGUAACACCUCAACCUGACGAACAGCGACCACGUCCGUGAACUUGGAGUUUGCCAAUUGUUCAGGUCCGACAAGAGACAAUGAACACUGUAGUUCCUCCGAAACUUCGUGAAGUUUAGGGUGGUCUAAUUAACCCAGACAUCCCUGGUUUCGUUCAAACGAGUGACAGAACGGCUAACCCGGUCAUCUAUUCCACAAGUCUCUCGAAAAGGUUCGACUUACAUUAGGCCCACAUACUAGUAACAAGAGUUUAUAAUAAAACACAAUACCCGUCUACCUUGAUUACCAUAUAAAGUG
rnacentral:rRNA from 1 species